CAGGGAUGUUAGUUAUCCUGAUGUGCUCUGUGUGUGGGACAGAUUGGAUUUGCUUCCUUUCUAAGGCAGGAAUUUGGUAUUUGGGGUUUCAUUUGCUGUUAAAGGAUCCUGAGUAGAUUCUUUUCAUUCGAGUUGGUAUAACAAAAUUAUGUGAGAACAUUGGUGUCUGUGACUGAUUUAAACAUGUCUCUGGUUGCAAGAGUCAGCUGUGUUGAGUUCCCAAUGCUGACUGCUGGAGAAAGGCUCCAUUUUCACUGGCAUGAAAAUGGCAGCCAGUGGUGCAGUUACCAAGUCAAAAAUGUAAAAUAUAAUGUAUAAUCUGUUAAACUUUGAAUUUAAAUUCUGUUCAGUUAAAACUCAGAUGUGAAGAGAUUCGGCCAUUAUCUGAAUAGUUCAGAAACCUCUGCUGAAAAUCUUUCCCCUAAUGGUAAAGAGUAUUAGAUAUGAGAUCCAUGUGCUUGCAUCCUGUUCACAUGGAUCCAAUCUCAUAUUUCCUUCAUAUCUGAGGAUUCUUGGGAGGGCCGAGGGAAGGGCAAAGGCUGGGAAGGGUGGGAUUCUAAUCUCUGGGCCUUUUGAAGAUCACCUUUUGGGGUGAUCCUACAGGGAUCCUUUGGAAUGAGUAGCUUAUGCUUUUUGAGGGCACACAUGAUGUUGUGUCACUGUUUUCUAUUUGAUGGGAAAAACCCAGGCAGUUGAUAUUUAUUAUCUUUCACCAAUAAUUGAAGUGUAUGUGUGUAUUUUUAUGUAAAUAAUCCCCAGUGAAAUGCCAGUUCAGAAGGAGCUGAGAUAUAUUAGUGGAUGUUACCAAGUCCUCAGGCUGCAGAACAGAAAGAACCAGGAGAACACUUGAAUAUGAUGAAUAAAAAAUACUCAUCAAAGAAAGGAGGGAUUGCUCCAAGCUCUUAACACAAUGGCAAAGGUAAACAUGAAGACUCUGUAUGCCUUGAAAGCAGUAAAUUAGCUUAAAUUAUCACAUAAGCCCUUACAUUUCAAGAAGGGCUAUGUCUUCCAGUAAAUUAGGGUUAUCAGCUGUGAUGAGUCACCUGGUCUUACAGUACAAAAUAAAAACCACUUAAACUUUUUUGCUGGUUUCAGUCAUAGUAGAAUUUGAUAUAAAUCAGUUGCUCCAUGGAGGACUCAGGCUGUGCUGAGAUUGUUCCCUGGAGCACAGCACUUGGUGUGAUUUGUGUGAGCCAAAUUAGUUAAUUGCUAUUCAAACCUCUGCAGUGGCUUGAUAACUUCAGAGUUGUCACAUCUGUGAAACCAUAAUGCCAGCAGCAGGUGCAUGUAAAGACUGAACACCAUCACUUCAUGCAAAUGUUUGUCUUCUCAGAUGGAGAUUAUUCUGGGAAUUAUAUAAUAGAUUUCCUUUUGGGCUUUUAAUCUGAUAGUAUCUUUCUGCAGUGAGUUCAAGUGUUGUCAGACAGGGAAUUAAGAAUUCACCAUGGUUAUUGAUGCUAGCCUUCAAAAAUAUUUGUCAGAGCAAAGCUGAAAUGUACUUAGAGGAUAAGUCAGUUAUCAAAGCAAAACCCUCGGCAGUUUGGAGGGGGCCUGUGGUUUCUCUUGCAUGUCCUCCUGCCUAGGCAGGGAUACAGCCUGUGGCACCACAGACCUGCUGUAAUGGGAACUGCUGUGCCAGGCUGCGAGUCACCAGCCCAGCUCAGCACAAGCUGGCCCUGCUCCUGUGCCAUCCAGUGCAUAGGCAGUGGGAGAGGGAGGAUUGAUGCCCUCAGGCACCACACAUGUGGCUUUUGACUCCAAAAUUUAGGAGGUGAGCUGAUGGGUAGGGCCAGUGCCCAGCUGUGUGCCAGGCAGCUGUGCCUGAGCAGAGGGGAUGGGGCUGUGGGGCAGGAUUUGCACCACUGACAGCUCUGGUCUUGUCCAGGGGAUCCAGAAUGAUGUUUCUGCAGGAGUGGAUGCUGUGUCAGCCCUGCAGGGCUGCAGCCAUUGAGGGAGGUGGCUGUGCCUGUGAUUAUUGAUCUCUCCUUGCUGCCAUCUGGAUGUCGAGAAGAGAGAGCCUUUCCCCUCAGCUGAGGUUUUGUUUGGGUUCUGUGGGAAAUGUGGGAAAAGAAGGACUGAGUGAGGCAGUUCUAGAUUACAUUAGUGCAGUCAACUCACUUUAUUGCCCAUUGGAAAUGGGCUAGGGUGUCUGUCCCCCAUCUAUG